AAUGGGCGAUGAGUGGCUUAAUGACUUGGCUUUGUGCUACAUUGAGAAGGCGAUUUUUAGAGCACUUGAUCCGGAGAAAAUUAAGAGGACUUUUCAAUCCAUGAAAGAUCGGAAGAUGAGUUUUCCACAUCAAAAGCGGCCUCGAAGUCCUUAGUGCUUUAGGAAAGGUUCUGUACUUCAUUUGUCUAUUGAAACAUCUAUUAUUGAUACUUCCAUUAUUAAAAGGUAACAUCUUGAUUCU